GGGACUUAUGGAGUAAUCUUGACUCUUAAGUGAUGAUUUAUCUGUUUUUCAUAAUUACAUCUACUCCUCAAAAUAAAGGAUUAAAUAGAACCGACUUAUGCUUCUUAAUGUUUUGGCGGUAUUUAAAAAUAAUAACUAAAGUAAAUCAAAAAGGUAAAUUUAUCCCAUAUCUUUCUCUCUCUUAUAAUUCUGCCAAAGUAGGCUUUGAUUUCGAUCUUAGCAAAUCAAAACUAAAACAUCUUGUAAUUUUUUUUUGUUUUGUUUUCGAUUUAAUUUAACAUUUAAUUAAAAAAAGAUAAUUAAAAACAUGAUCGGUAGUAUAUUAUAUGAAAUCAUAUUUCGUCAUGUCAGUAAGUCCUUUUUCAAUACAAAAACAGCAUACAAUAACAUAUUCGUAUAGGAGAUAUAACAUUUUAUUAUAUAGUCUUAAUAU
rnacentral:lncRNA from 1 species